rnacentral:rRNA from 1 species
UACAGAGGUCCCAAGCGUUGUUCGGAUUCAUUGGGCGUAAAGGGUGUGUAGGUGGCGCCGUAAGUCGGGUGUGAAAUUUCGAGGCUUAACCUCGAAACUGCAUUCGAUACUGCGGUGCUUGAGGACUGGAGAGGAGACUGGAAUUUACGGUGUAGCAGUGAAAUGCGUAGAUAUCGGGAGGAACACCUGUGGCGAAAGCGGCGCACUGGACCAUAACUGACGCUGAGGCGCGAAAGCUAGGGGAGCAAACAGG